rnacentral:rRNA from 1 species
UGAGGAAUAUUGGUCAAUUGGCGAGAGCCUGAACCAGCCAAGUCGCGUGAAGGAAGACAGUCCUAAGGAUUGUAAACUUCUUUUAUACGGGAAUAACGGGCGAUACGAGUAUUGCAUUGAAUGUACCGUAAGAAUAAGCAUCGGCUAACUCCGUGCCAGCAGCCGCGGUAAUACGGAGGAUGCGAGCGUUAUCCGAAUUUAUUGGGUUUAAAGGGUGCGUAGGUUGUUCGGUAAGUCAGCGGUGAAACCUGAGCGCUCAACGUUCAGCCUGCCGUUGAACCUGCCGUGCUUGAGUUCAGUGGCGGCAGGCGGAAUUCGUGGUGUAGCGGUGAAAUGCAUAGUUAUCACGAGGAACUCCGAUUGCGAAGGCAGCUUGCCAUACUGCAACUGACACUGAAGCACGAAGGCGUGGGUAUCAAACAGG